AACGAACGCUGGCGGCAUGCCUAACACAUGCAAGUCGAACGAGACCUUCGGGUCUAGUGGCGCACGGGUGCGUAACGCGUGGGAACCUGCCCUUAGGUUCGGAAUAACUCCCCGAAAGGGGUGCUAAUACCGGAUAAUGUCUUCGGACCAAAGAUUUAUCGCCUUUGGAUGGGCCCGCGUUGGAUUAGCUAGUUGGUAGGGUAAAAGCCUACCAAGGCGACGGUCCAUAGCUGGUCUGAGAGGAUGAUCAGCCACACUGGGACUGAGACACGGCCCAGACUCCUACGGGAGGCAGCAGUGGGGAAUAUUGGACAAUGGGCGAAAGCCUGAUCCAGCAAUGCCGCGUGAGUGAUGAAGGCCUUAGGGUUGUAAAGCUCUUUUACCCGGGAUGAUAAUGACAGUACCGGGAGAAUAAGCUCCGGCUAACUCCGU
rnacentral:rRNA from 1 species